rnacentral:rRNA from 1 species
AGUGAACGCUGGCGGUAGGCCUAACACAUGCAAGUCGAACGGCAGCACAGUAAGAGCUUGCUCUUACGGGUGGCGAGUGGCGGACGGGUGAGGAAUACAUCGGAAUCUACUUUUUCGUGGGGGAUAACGUAGGGAAACUUACGCUAAUACCGCAUACGACCUACGGGUGAAAACAGGGGAUCUUCGGACCUUGCGCGAUUGAAUGAGCCGAUGUCGGAUUAGCUAGUUGGCGGGGUAAAGGCCCACCAAGGCGACGAUCCGUGGCUGGUCUGAGAGGAUGAUCAGCCACACUGGAACUGAGACACGGUCCAGACUCCUACGGGAGGCAGCAGUGGGGAAUAUUGGACAAUGGGCGCAAGCCUGAUCCAGCCAUACCGCGUGGGUGAAGAAGGCCUUCGGGUUGUAAAGCCCUUUUGUUGGGAAAGAAAAGCAGCAGGUUAAUACCCCGCUGUUCUGACGGUACCCAAAGAAUAAGCACCGGCUAACUUCGUG